rnacentral:rRNA from 1 species
CCUACGGGAUGCAGCAGUGGGGAAUAUUGCACAAUGGGCGAAAGCCUGAUGCAGCGACGCCGCGUGAGGGAUGACGGCCUUCGGGUUGUAAACCUCUUUCAGCUGGGACGAAGCGCAAGUGACGGUGCCUGCAGAAGAAGCACCGGCUAACUACGUGCCAGCAGCCGCGGUAAUACGUAGGGUGCGAGCGUUGUCCGGAAUUAUUGGGCGUAAAGAGCUCGUAGGCGGUUUGUCGCGUCGGCCGUGAAAACUUGGGGCUUAACCCCAAGCUUGCGGUCGAUACGGGCAGACUUGAGUUCGGCAGGGGAGACUGGAAUUCCUGGUGUAGCGGUGAAAUGCGCAGAUAUCAGGAGGAACACCGGUGGCGAAGGCGGGUCUCUGGGCCGACACUGACGCUGAGGAGCGAAAGCGUGGGGAGCGAACAGGAUUAGAUACCCCUGUAGUC